ACUGAAUGUUCAAUCUGAGAACCUCCCUUUCAUACCAGGAGGGAAGAGGAUGAGGAAGAAUAGGGGAGAGGGGUGAAGUCCCCAUGAUGUGGCUGGUGCUGUCCACCCGUGCUCUGAUUUAUUUUACUGAACAACACUGUUGGUAGAAGGAGUAACCAUAUUUUUGGACUGGGAUAGACUCUUUUUGUUGGCAAUGACCUUAUUUUCCACCCCCGGGUCUGCCCCUCUUAAAGCACUUAAAGCAGUGCCUGGUACAAGGAUUUGUCAUCCAGAGAGGAGGUGAGCAGAAAGUGCUGGGCCACUCCACUGGAGAAGUUGGAGACCUUUCUUUUCUCUGUGUCUAGGGAGGCAUGAGAGAGUGAGAGAAGACUCCUUGAGGAACUGGCUCAGACAGAGGAGGGAGACAAGGUACCAUGUUAACAACAGGACUGGUAUUUCGCCCAGAGUACAGAGAGCUCGGCAGAUUCCCGGCAUUUCUGAAAAACAAUCCUUUGGGGUUGAGUCCAAUUAAAUGCUUUAGGAAAAAAGUUUUGAUAUUCAAGAGAAAUAAUAUGGCUCAACAACUGAAGUUCCACUUCUGAUGGACCUGAGAAGCCUGGCAAAUGACGUUUGAUUUUCACACUCUUUGAAGAGACAACAGAUUUCACUGUGUAGGGGAGAAAGUGCCCAAGUGGACUUCUGGAGUUCUGACUGCUUUGGGAGAUCCAUUGACUGCAGGUGGGCUUGUUUGCAUAUGGAGCCAACAAGGAGGAAAAGCAGAAAACUGAGAGAUGGAGAGAGACCCUUGACAAUGUUUGAGCCCCAGGAUCUGCCUAUAUCUGAAACCAUUGCGUCUGGGCAUUCAAGUCUGUGGUUCAGUAAAUUUCCUGCUCUUUCUUAAACUAGCUGGAGUUGGAUUUCUGAUUAUAACCAGAAGUACUUAGAUGAAUACAUGAAGCUGGUGAAACAAUAUUUCUAAAUAUUUUUAUAUGUAAAUAGAGCUACAUCUCGAGCAUAGACCUAUUUCUUGGGCUCUAGACUCAUCUAUCCAACUGCCUCUUGACUGUUUCACUUGGGUUUGUAUGUGGUAUCUUGAUAUGGUUUGGCUGUGUAUCCCCACCCAAAUUUCAUGUUGAAUUAUAAUGC